GGACCCGACUGCUAUCAGAGUGGGACUAAGCCAUGCGAGUCAACAUAGCAAUAUGUGGCAUACGGCUCAGUAACACGUAGUCAACAUGCCCAGGGGACGUGGAUAACCUCGGGAAACUGAGGAUAAACCGCGAUAGGUCAUCACUUCUGGAAUGGGUAAUGACUUAAAUCUAUAUGGCCCCUGGAUUGGACUGCGGCCGAUCAGGCUGUUGGUGAGGUAAUGGCCCACCAAACCUGUAACCGGUACGGGCUCUGAGAGGAGGAGCCCGGAGAUGGGCACUGAGACAAGGGCCCAGGCCCUAUGGGGCGCAGCAGGCGCGAAACCUCUGCAAUAGGCGAAAGCUUGACAGGGUUACUCUGAGUGAUUUCCGUUAAGGAGAUCUUUUGGCACCUCUAAAAAUGGUGCAGAAUAAGGGGUGGGCAAGUCUGGUGUCAGCCGCCGCGGUAAUACCAGCACCCCGAGUGGUCGGGACGUUUAUUGGGCCUAAAGCAUCCGUAGCCGGUUCUACAAGUCUUCCGUUAAAUCCACCUGCUUAACAGAUGGGCUGCGGAAGAUACUAUAGAGCUAGGAGGCGGGAGAGGCAAGCGGUACUCGAUGGGUAGGGGUAAAAUCCGUUGAUCCAUUGAAGACCACCAGUGGCGAAGGCGGCUUGCCAGAACGCGCUCGACGGUGAGGGAUGAAAGCUGGGGGAGCAAACCGGAUUAGAUACCCGGGUAGUCCCAGCUGUAAACGAUGCAGACUCGGUGAUGAGUUGGCUUAUUGCUAACUCAGUGCCGCAGGGAAGCCGUUAAGCUUGCCGCCUGGGGAGUACGGUCGCAAGACUGAAACUUAAAGGAAUUGGCGGGGGAGCACCACAAGGGGUGAAGCCUGCGGUUCAAUUGGAGUCAACGCCGGAAAUCUUACCGGGGGCGACAGCAGAGUGAAGGUCAAGCUGAAGACUUUACCAGACAAGCUGAGAGGAGGUGCAUGGCCGUCCCCAGCUCGUGCCGUGAGGUGUCCUGUUAAGUCAGGUAACGAGCGAGACC
rnacentral:rRNA from 1 species